GCUAGGCGCAGUGGCAUACACCUGUAAUCCCAGGGGCUCUGGAGGCUGAGGCAGGAGGAUCACGAGUUUAAAGCCAGCCUCAGUAACUUAGUGAGGCCCCAAGCAACUCAGAGAGACCCUGUCUCUA
rnacentral:sRNA from 1 species